AAAAAACCCAGUGGCAAAAACUCAUAUUUGAGGAAAAAAGCACAACUGGGGAAACUCUAAGUAAGGGCCAUGAAUGUGUAGACAUGUCAUCCCCUCAUGUUGACAGCAUUAGUGACUUAUAAAAACCCACACUUGUAAGUAAAUAGCUCGGGUAUCAGGAUUGGGAAACACUUCUUGAUUAGUGUGAAAAGGCCCACUUACAUAUUCAAUCAU